CCUACGGGAGGCAGCAGUGGGGAAUAUUGGUCAAUGGCCGGGAGGCUGAACCAGCCACGUCGCGUGAGGGAAGACGGCCCUACGGGUUGUAAACCUCUUUUGUCAGGGAGCAAGGUGCAGGUCGGGACCUGCGGUGAGAGUACCUGAAGAAAAAGCCUCGGCUAACUCCGUGCCAGCAGCAGCGGUAAUACGGGGGAUUCGAGCGUUGUCCGGAAUUACUGGGUGUAAAGGGAGCGCAGGCGGGAAGCCAAGUCAGCUGUGAAAACUACGGGCUUAACUUGUAGACUGCAGUUGAAACUGGUUUUCUUGAGUGAAGUAGAGGUUGGCGGAAUUCCGAGUGUAGCGGUGAAAUGCGUAGAUAUUCGGAGGAACACCGGUGGCGAAGGCGGCCAACUGGGCUUUAACUGACGCUGAGGCUCGAAAGUGUGGGGAGCAAACAGGAUUAGAUACCCCAGUAGUC
rnacentral:rRNA from 1 species